rnacentral:lncRNA from 1 species
GAGAGGAUUUUGAUUCAGCUUCCGGCAGACUUAGAGAGGUAAGAGUGGCUAACUCCUUCACCAUUUCUUUCUUGAGUUCAGCCUGAAAUUGCUAAACAAAAUAUGUUAUUCAUUUCAGCUAUUUUUUUUUAUUGAACAACAUAGCACAACAGAGAGCCAAAAGAACAAACAUUCAAGGUAUUUACUAUAUCAGUAUGUUCUCUCCCACGUUACAUGCUUCACACGCAUCAAAUCCACGCUUCAGUAUAUAUGUAUAAAUACGGAGUAAUUAGAGGAAUGCACAAUCUUUUAUUUCGAGACUGACGCUAUGUGAAUUUCCAUAUGACAAAGUAGCAAUAUGAACCAAAACCACACCACCUAGUCUAAAUUCUUGCUUUAUCGAAUUGAAUAAUAGAAUAUCAAGGCUUGAAGAGAGAUUUAUGAACACUAGGGUAUCAAAACUAGAAGAAAGACCCUAGCUUGCUUAACUGAGAUGUAGUACCUGAGUUGGAGAGAAUGUCGGAAUGGUGGCUGCCCUGUUUUGACGAGGCGGAGUGGCCGUCGGCGACAGUGAGGCUUCUAGAGAGGCGUGCACAACAGAGGAGCAGGCGACGAUUCACGGAGACUUGAGAGCCGACAUCGACUUCCGAAGGCGUGCAGCGGCGCUUGGUAACGACAGCCCACAUGGGCCUAUUACGAUCGGGAAUCAGGGAGAAUCCGUUGGGACCCCGUGACGGUGGCAACUCAGGGAGCCGGAGCCGGUAGCACGGCGGACGGACUCUAAGAGAGGCAGC